GUGCUCACUCUGGCGGCACAUAUAUUAAAAUUGGAACAACACAGAGAAUAUUAGCCUUGCCCCUGCCAAAAUUUGUGGUGGUAGCUUGAGAGCCUCUUUCUAGAAAAUU
rnacentral:snRNA from 1 species